rnacentral:rRNA from 1 species
CAGCCGCCGCGGUAAUACGAAGGGUGCAAGCGUUACUCGGAAUUACUGGGCGUAAAGCGUGCGUAGGUGGUGGUUUAAGUCCGUUGUGAAAGCCCUGGGCUCAACCUGGGAAUUGCAGUGGAUACUGGGUCACUAGAGUGUGGUAGAGGAUAGUGGAAUUUCCGGUGUAGCAGUGAAAUGCGUAGAGAUCGGAAGGAACAUCUGUGGCGAAGGCGACUAUCUGGGCCAACACUGACACUGAGGCACGAAAGCGUGGGGAGCAAACAGGAUUAGAUACCCGCGAGUCCCUGUCUCUUAUACA